CGUAGGUAACCUGCCCCUUAGCGGGGGAUAACUAUUGGAAACGAUAGCUAAUACCGCAUAAAAGUCGACAUCGCAUGAUGUUGACUUGAAAGGUGCAAUUGCAUCACUAAGAGAUGGACCUGCGUUGUAUUAGCUAGUUGGUGAGGUAACGGCUCACCAAGGCGACGAUACAUAGCCGACCUGAGAGGGUGAUCGGCCACACUGGGACUGAGACACGGCCCAG
rnacentral:rRNA from 1 species